GCUAUUUCUUCUGUUUUAAUGGGUUUUUUACUUGAAUUGUUGUAUAGUUGCAUAUAGUAUAUUUAACCCCUAGUGUCACCAGGCCUAUAUCUUUUCCUUGUCAACUCUAUGGAUCAUUAAUUCCUAGUGCUUGCCCCUUCCUAAAUUGCACAUAUUUCACCUUUUAAUCACUUCCAUUUCACAGCCUCAGUCUCUUGCAAACAAGCCUGACAACAACACAACUCUUCCCUCGACUCACCCACCUACCCCUAAGUCCUGUUUUAAUAUAUUGACUUUCCUAAUUACUCAUGAAUGGUCAGGCCCAGACUGGGACAAAAAAUAGCCACAGGCAUUUAAGACUGAUCAGCCCAUUUUUUUUCAGGUCAAGUGGCAAAUAAUGACAAAUAUAAUAUAACGG